rnacentral:rRNA from 1 species
AUGAGUAUCUUGUGCUGGAACUGUCGCGGGAUUGGCAACGCCCCGACAGUUCAAGAGCUACGCGAACUCGCGACAAAGUUUGCCCCUAAAGUACUUUGUAUUGUUGAAACUUAGAUCAAUAGAGUUAGAGCAGAAAGUCUAGCAAGUACUUUAGGUUUUGAUAAUUCAUUUGCUGUUGACUCCUCUGGUAGGAGUGGAGGUUUGGCUAUCUUUUGGAACAAUGAAAUAAAAGUUGAGAAUUUGGGUUAUUCGAAGUAUCACAUAGACAUCAGGGUGAGUGAUCUUGGGGGUGACCCUUGGAGACUUUCAUGUUUCUAUGGGAGGCGCAAACACACAUGCGUUAUCACACUUGGGAUACAAUGA